rnacentral:lncRNA from 1 species
AUUAGUUAAUAUUCUAAUUAAUUAACACGAAAGAGAUUCAAAGGGUCUUUCAUGCUAAUUCACGCUGAAGAACAAGUAAUUAAAGGUCCAAGUCUCUUUCAAACCUGGGCCUAAUGGGGAGCCUCAUUACUUAUUGUGUAGACUACUGAAUCAAAGAUUUUAUGUGACUUGGAUUGUAUAACACAUGAGGCCCGACAUUAAAAUGAAGCCAGCCGCAGUGUUGAGACCCAAGAUGGAGCCCCUACGAGAACACAACGCUAUUCACAUGACAAUUCAUAUUAAACACUAACCCCAUGGAGCACAUAUGAUAACAAGAAAUGUUGUUGCCGAUUAAUAAUUGCUUAUAAGGUCUUGGGCCCAAGAUAAGCCUAAAUCUAACAAGGGAGACGAAAACGUCAACCUGUGGAGCCUAGAUCGAGCCCCCCUGAGCUCAAAUUAUCCCCACUAUAGAAGGCGCACCUCAAACUUAUUAUUCUGACCUGACUCUAUUCAAUUAACCAAUAGUCCUGUCUCUGAACUUUGAUCACCUAAACGAGGAACAAAUAAAAGCUGCUUUGCAUGAAAAUUAUAAAAAAAUAAUUAAUAGGCAAAUUUAAACUACAUCUACCAUAAAUACACGACUCAACCUCUCAUGACAGCCAAAUCUUCAAUUAUUGAAGUAUCUCAACACUUUAAACAUAAUAGACUAGAUCAAUUUUAGCUCUAACUUAUGGUUAUCAUAAUAACAGUUCUCAUACAAAGUUAUAUACAAACAAGAGCACUCAUUUCAACAAGAAUUAAAACUAAACUUAGAUGUUUGAAGAAGAAUACUGAUGCAAUUCCGGGACAGUUUCAUAUUACCAUACACUUAGCCAAUAUAGCUUAAACACAAUCCUUAGCUAAUGGUUAAUAUUUUACCAAGUUCCCUAUAUCAACAUGUCCAAAACCAUCUAUAACCAAAAGAGUUUAAAAAGCAGGUAGAAUAACUCUAAAGCUAUACUAAUUCUAUCAAAUGCAAGUUGACUACUAGUUCCCAUGUUGAACAUAUAACACAUUAAUUAACUCUAAAAAACUGAAAUUAGACUAAUUAAUUUGAACACGCGGGAACCAACAUUUGGAACUCCAAUUUUUAUUUUAUUUCAAUAUUAUACCGUAGAUGAUGUGAAUCUAGGAACAUGUACUUGAAAAUUAAAAAUAAAAUAACAAAUAAUGGUCAGCAGAGCAGCAGUAGAACUUGAUAAUGGCAACAACACAACCCAGAUUCAACGAUUUAAAUACUGAAAACCAGCUUAAGAAUUCAAUGGAAUAGUGGUCCUUAACAACUUGAAACAGAAAAUUCCUCCCAAAUUCAAUAUCACUCCAAAUGAACUCUCAGAAUAAACCACAAAACAUGUCCAGACUUGAAACCUUCAGCAAUCGACUAAGAAAAGAAAAUAAGAUUCAAUAGAACAAUAAAAAAUUCUCAGCCAUUUUCUUUUUCUGACUUCUUUCAGUUCUUUUUUUUUCUGCCUUGAAAUGCAAGAAAAUGUGCCUUUAUACGCAAGGGAAUAUGGCAACAAGCAGAUUUCAACUUUUCAUUUUAGCCGUCUUUGAAUUUUGCUUUUUUGCUUAGAAAUUCUUAGGUAAAAAUAUUAAAAUCAAGUUAAAUCCCCCGCCCAGCUUCCUAGAAGCUUCCUAAUCAGUUACCAAAAGAUUCCCAAUCCCAAACUUCCUAAACUACCCCCCAAAGCCCUUGAGAUUACCCUCAGCCUUUUACCCGGGUCAGACAUAGGGGAUAAGUUGACCUCAUUUAAUGGGUCUAAAAUACGAGUUUGAUUCCUAUCUGGGCUAAUCCCUUUCAAUUUGGAUCCAAUUCAAUUCAAGAAAUCAAAAAAGAAGUUUUAGGGGCAGAAAAAUAGAGGAACAGUGGAAUCCAAUAAAAAGUUUGGCCAAACGUCCUCCCUAACCAAAAAUUAAAGUGAAACAAUCAAUAGAAAACAAAGACUAAACCCAUGACUAUGAGCAAUCUAAGGAAAACAGUAAUUAAUCAAUUAAACUAAACCCAAUGAAACACAUGCAAAUGGCGAUUGUGAGAAGAAAAUAGAAAAGAAAAAGGAAAUCGUAGAAGAGGGUAAUAAUAAAAGAGCGGAAAAGGGAAUCCGAGGAUACCUAUCAAAAAAUGGGCGGAAAAACAUCUCGAACAAAGAAUUCAAUGAAUCCUUAACUUUGCGGCCGAGACGGACCUUAAUCGUGUGUUCUCGACUGAGAACACACACCUAAAAUAGAUCUCAUCCUCAAAUUCUUAAAACUUCGCUAAUUUAGGCUUUCUGCAGUUCAUAUUCUUAACAUUCGAAUAGCUUGGAAGAGAUUUGAAGCAGAAGGAGUGGGGUUCAAGAUGAAUGAGGAUUGAGGAUUAUUUGGUGUUAAUUUUGGUGAAUGUUUGGGGUGGGAUGCCGAUAACAAUGGGGUUCAACCAAGAAAGGCAUUCUCUGAGAAAGGGAUAUGAACGAGGUGAACAAGAUACUAGGUUUAAUUCUGAAGAAUUCAGACAUAUUAAUUGUAAAUAGGAGGUGGCGUUGAACCAUUGGAUAUUGAGAGAUGGAAGGUCCAAAUU